GUCAUUUGGAAGGGUGCCAUGAGCAAGGUAUCUAUAAAUCGGGGUAAUCCAACUAUCUUUUUGUUGUAAGUUGCACACUUCCGCAGCCAUGGUGCUUGGUGCUACCAACAAUUCGACCUGAAUUUUUCUCCCAAUCUUGUCUUCCACUGCUGAGGCGAGGCGAGCCAAAGCAUUUGCAUGAUUGUUUGCCAUUCGAGGAAUUUGGGUGAUCUGGUAGUAGAAGUGCUUGAGCAACAAUUGUGUAUGUGCCAGAUAUGAUGCCAUGGAGCUAUCCUUAGCGUCAAAGUUGUUGGUGACCUGGUUAACCACCAAUUGGGAGUCA
rnacentral:lncRNA from 1 species